AAGUGUUACAGCUCCUUUAGAAUUUGUCUAGCAGGCUUUCCGGUCCUUACCAGAACACCCCU
rnacentral:snRNA from 1 species